GGAAUAUUGGACAAUGGGCGCAAGCCUGAUCCAGCAAUGCCGCGUGAGUGAUGAAGGCCUUAGGGUUGUAAAGCUCUUUUGCUAGGGAAGAUGAUGACUGUACCUGGAGAAUAAGCCCCGGCUAACUUCGUGCCAGCAGCCGCGGUAAUACGGAGGGUGCUAGCGUUGUUCGGAAGUACUGGGCGUAAAGGGCGCGUAGGCGGCCGUUUAAGUUAGAUGUGAAAGUCCUGGGCUCAACCUGGGGACUGCAUUUAAUACUGGAUGGCUUGAAUUCGGGAGAGGAUAGCGGAAUUCCCAGUGUAGAGGUGAAAUUCGUAGAUAUUGGGAAGAACACCGGUGGCGAAGGCGGCUAUCUGGACCGACAUUGACGCUGAGGCGCGAAAGCGUGGGGAGCA
rnacentral:rRNA from 1 species